rnacentral:lncRNA from 10 species
CUUGAAACUGUAACUCUCGUUCAGGAGUUGGGGAAAAUAAAGAUAGGGGUGUGUGCGCGUGUGCGUGUGUGUUUUCUACCAGACUGGAAUAAUAUAACAGAUAAAAGGAUGGAAGUUAGCAAAGAAGAAUUUAACUGAAGGAGAAGUGUUACGUAGGAAAAAUCACGAGACUGCAGUUGGAAAACUAGGUUGGAGCUCCUCGUGGAAGAGUUUGCAUGACAAACUACAAAGCAGGGAGCCACUGAAGCUACUUUGGAAUACGGGAAUUCACCUGUUUUUUACGUACUCAGCUGCCGUGCAUUGAGCCCUUCCCACAAGCCAGCCGUUUGCUAAGUGCUGUGGAUCAGCAAAGCUAAAAUUCACUUGGAUCCUGACUUCAAGCAGCUUAGCGUCUAGCAGUUGAUAUUAGAUAUGUAUAUAAGUAACCAUAACACAAAAUAGAAAGUGGUGUAUCGUGUGAAGUAAAAACUGGGAAGCAAGAGGGAUUGCUUCCUGCAGGGGAUGAGAGCAAAACGUAAUAGAAGAUUUUCAGGUGAAGGGAAGGUUGAUCUUGGCAGUAAGGAUGUAUUGAAGACUUGAGCAAGAGAAGCCACUUAGAAGCUACCAAGGAGAUGAAUGUCAUCUGUCUGAAUGCAACAUGGAAACUUCAGUGAAUGUGUUAGAACAGAACUCGUAUGAGAGCAUCAGCCAGAAACACAAUGGAUUAGUGUUCUGUUUCAUUCCCAUGGAUGUCAUGCACAGCACCCCUCUUCAUCUCACAUUCCUGGGGAUGCUGGCUUCUCUAACAAGAGGCUGAGUUUCCCUGGGUUUCUGUAAGGACCUGAACACCUCCAGUAGCAAUCCGUGCCCUUUGCUUGUGACUCCAGAGCUCCCAGAUAGAAGUGGUUGGAUGGAGCCAGGAACAGCAGAGAACUCCGGCCGAGGGGUGACCCACCAGCAUCGUUCCACCAGCCUCCAGCGAUGGUGGGUGUGGACUUGAACUUCCAACUUCAGUCUAGGCCAAGGGGAGGGCAGUGAGAGGUUCGCAUACCCAUCAUCCCUUCCAUGCCCAUAAAGGUUCCUAAAAUAUCAUUCGUUAGCCCCAAACUGUAUGAGACCCUCCCUCCUAGUGUUCCCCUGUGCAACUGUCACAACAUGAUUAAUCUAAUUUGCAGUAUUAUUUGUUUGCUUGUCUUAUCUCCCUGCUCUCUACAUUCUUAUGUUAUGUAAGUACCUUGAGGUCAGGGACAUCUCUAGAUGAUCUUUGUACAAGUCAUUACAUGAAGAAAAUGCUCAAUAAAUAUUUGUGUUU